rnacentral:lncRNA from 1 species
AUCACGUUUUGAGUAGUAUUGACACAAAUAAUUUUACGCCUGAAAAGAUAAACGGUCUAGUUGAUGACCUUGGCAAUGUACUGUUAGAUACGGCAGAAGGAGUUCUAGGCAAGACUAAAAAAAGACCGGUUUAUCCCGACCGCAAAAAUAAACCAUGGUUUGAUAAAAAUUGCCAAGACAAACGUAAUGAGUUUCACAAGGCUAGAAACUUAUAUAGCAGAGCGAAAUCAGGUGGUAAUAAACUGGCAAUGAAUAGCAAGGCCAAGGAAUACCGCAAGACACUUAACAUUAACUAUCAGCAGUAUAAAGAAAAAUGUUCGGAUGAACUGAGGGCACUCUCAAAAAAUGACUCUAAGGGAUUUUGGAAGACACUUAAAAAAUAUUCUGGCUACAAAAAAGACAACCCCUCUAUCAGUAUUGAAGCAUUUCAUGAAUAUUUUAAAAACAUGAAUGCAAAUGACGAAGAAGAUCUUGACGGCAUCGACAUUAAUGCGUUGUGUAGUGACCCCAUUUAUAAUGAAAUUUUAAAUGGAGUCAUUACAGAACAAGAGGUUGUGGAUGCCGUUAAGAACUUGAAACAUGGU